rnacentral:pre_miRNA from 9 species
GGAAGGUACAAAAUUAUUUUUGCAAUAUGUUCCUGAAUAUGUAAUAUAAGUGUAUUGGGAACAUUUUGCAUCCAUAGUUUUGUAUCAAUAUU